GGCGGGGUAACGGCCCACCAAGGCGACGAUGCGUAGGGGUUCUGAGAGGAAGGUCCCCCACACUGGUACUGAGACACGGACCAGACUCCUACGGGAGGCAGCAGUGAGGAAUAUUGGUCAAUGGGCGCGAGCCUGAACCAGCCAAGUCGCGUGAGGGAAGACGGUCCUAUGGAUUGUAAACCUCUUUUGUCGGGGAGCAAAAGACGCCACGCGUGGCGUUCCGAGAGUACCCGAAGAAAAAGCAUCGGCUAACUCCGUGCCAGCAGCCGCGGUAAUACGGAGGAUGCGAGCGUUAUCCGGAUUUAUUGGGUUUAAAGGGUGCGCAGGCGGAAGAUCAAGUCAGCGGUAAAAUUGAGAGGCUCAACCUCUUCGAGCCGUUGAAACUGGUUUUCUUGAGUGAGCGAGAAGUAUGCGGAAUGCGUGGUGUAGCGGUGAAAUGCAUAGAUAUCACGCAGAACUCCGAUUGCGAAGGCAGCAUACCGGCGCUCAACUGACGCUCAUGCACGAAAGUGUGGGUAUCGAACAGGAUUAGAUACCCUGGUAGUCCACACAGUAAACGAUGAAUAAUAAUUGUUCGGG
rnacentral:rRNA from 1 species